AGCAGCCGCGGUAAUUCCAGCUCCAAUAGCGUAUAUUAAAGUUGUUGCAGUUAAAAAGCUCGUAGUUGAAUUUCGGGAUCAAAUUGUCGGUCGUGCUUCGGUACGCACUGGCAUUAUUGGUUCCUACCUUCUGAAGAACCGCGAUGUCAUUAAUUUGGUGUCGUGGGGAAUCAGGACUGUUACUUUGAAAAAUUAGAGUGUUUAAAGCAGGCGCACGCUUGAAUACAUUAGCAUGGAAUAAUGAAAUAGGACGUUUGAUUCUAUUUUGUUGGUUUCUAGGAUCGACGUAAUGAUUAAUAGGGAUAGUUGGGGGCAUUAGUAUUCAAUUGUCAGAGGUGAAAUUCUUGGAUUUAUUGAAGACUAACUACUGCGAAAGCAUUUGCCAAGGAUGUUUUCAUUAAUCAAGAACGAAAGUUAGGGGAUCGAAGACGAUCAGAUACCGUCGUAGUCUUAACCAUAAACUAUGCCGACUAGGGAUCGGAUGAUGUAAUUUUUAAUGACUCA
rnacentral:rRNA from 1 species